rnacentral:rRNA from 1 species
UACGUAGGGUGCGAGCGUUGUCCGGAAUUAUUGGGCGUAAAGAGCUCGUAGGCGGUGUGUCACGUCGGCCGUGAAAACCUGCAGCUUAACUGUGGGCGUGCGGUCGAUACGGGCAUCACUGGAGUUCGGCAGGGGAGACGGGAAUUCCUGGUGUAGCGGUGAAAUGCGCAGAUAUCAGGAGGAACACCGGUGGCGAAGGCGGGUCUCUGGGCCGAUACUGACGCUGAGGCACGAAAGCGUGUGGAGCAAACAGG